rnacentral:rRNA from 1 species
GACGAACGCUGGCGGCGUGCCUAAUACAUGCAAGUAGAACGCACAGUUUAUACCGUAGCUUGCUACACCAUAAACUGUGAGUUGCGAACGGGUGAGUAACGCGUAGGUAACCUGCCUGGUAGCGGGGGAUAACUAUUGGAAACGAUAGCUAAUACCGCAUAAUAUUCAUUAUUGCAUGAUAAUUGAUUGAAAGAUGCAAUUGCAUCACUACCAGAUGGACCUGCGUUGUAUUAGCUAGUAGGUGAGGUAACGGCUCACCUAGGCGACGAUACAUAGCCGACCUGAGAGGGUGAUCGGCCACACUGGGACUGAGACACGGCCCAGACUCCUACGGGAGGCAGCAGUAGGGAAUCUUCGGCAAUGGACGAAAGGCUGACCGAGCAACGCCGCGUGAGUGAAGAAGGUUUUCGGAUCGUAAAGCUCGGUUGUAAGAGAAGAACGGGUGUGAGAGUGGAAAGUUCACACUGUGACGGUAUCUUACCAGAAAGGGACGGCUAACUACGUG